UACAGAGGUCCCAAGCGUUGUUCGGAUUCACUGGGCGUAAAGGGUGCGUAGGCGGUCGGGUAAGUCUGAUGUGAAAUCUCACAGCUUAACUGUGAAACUGCAUUGGAUACUAUCCGGCUUGAGGAAUGGAGGGGAGACUGGAAUACUUGGUGUAGCAGUGAAAUGCGUAGAUAUCAAGUGGAACACCAGUGGCGAAGGCGGCUCACUGGCCCGGUACUGACGCUGAGGUGCGAAAGCGUGGGGAGCAAACAGG
rnacentral:rRNA from 1 species